GUUCCCCUGCUUGAGGAAAUUGCAGGUGUCAGAAAGACCUGAGUGCUUUGGAUGACCUCUGCCUUGAGAGAACCAUGUGAUCAUGGUAUCUCCUCUGCCAUGAAGACACGGACAUGCGUGAGCACAGAGGGAUGACCAUGUGAGGACACAGAGAGAAAGCCAAGCCAAGGAAGAGAGGCCUUAGAAGAAACCAAACCUGCUGAUACUUUGGUCUUGGACUUCUGGCUGAAGAACUGUGGGAAAACAAAUUUUUGUUGUGUCAGCCAGGGAAUCUAUGAAAGCCUCAGGACCUGUGGCAGGAGAGGCAAACAAAGCUGGAGUUAUGGCAUCUUGAGGAGUCCCCUAUGACUAGUUAAGAAGAAAAAAAAGAAGCCUGUUUCCCAGAAGGUUCUGCAUGACAUGAUGGCACUGGCCAGAAGUGGACUGCUACAACAUUAUGUACACUCAGUUGGUGGCAGGAGGUCUGGGUAAGAGGCAGCCUUCAAGGAGACACGGCCCUCCUGUCCCCACCUCUGCUUCUCAACCUCUCUGAAACUGAGAAAAAGAUCCUAACGCUCCACUGCAUUCUCAAACAUGAAAUUCUAGUGACCAUCUCCAUCAGCUGGAGGAAACGCUAAUUACUUACAUUUUAUACUGUACGAAAUAGAUACUGCUGUUGCUGGUACAAGCCCUCCCAGGCUGCCAGUGCAAAAUGUUGUGGAAAUUUC